rnacentral:rRNA from 1 species
UGGCUCAGGACGAACGCUGGCGGCGUGCCUAAUACAUGCAAGUCGAGCGAAGUUUUUCUGGUGCUUGCACUAGAAAAACUUAGCGGCGAACGGGUGAGUAACACGUAAAGAACCUGCCUCAUAGACGGGGACAACUAUUGGAAACGAUAGCUAAUACCGGAUAACAGCAUAAAUCGCAUGAUAUAUGUUUAAAAGUUGGUUUCGGCUAACACUAUGAGAUGGCUUUGCGGUGCAUUAGCUAGUUGGUGGGGUAAAGGCCUACCAAGGCGACGAUGCAUAGCCGACCUGAGAGGGUGAUCGGCCACACUGGGACUGAGACACGGCCCAGACUCCUACGGGAGGCAGCAGUGGGGAAUAUUGCGCAAUGGGGGCAACCCUGACGCAGCCAUGCCGCGUGAAUGAAGAAGGCCUUCGGGUUGUAAAGUUCUUUCGGUAGUGAGGAAGGCAUUUAGUUUAAUAGACUAGGUGAUUGACGUUAACUACAGAAGAAGCACCGGCUAACUCCGUGCCAGCAGCCGCGGUAAUACGGAGGGUGCGAGCGUUAAUCGGAAUAACUGGGCGUAAAGGGCACGCAGGCGGUGACUUAAGUGAGGUGUGAAAGCCCCGGGCUUAACCUGGGAAUUGCAUUUCAUACUGGGUCGCUAGAGUACUUUAGGGAGGGGUAGAAUUCCACGUGUAGCGGUGAAAUGCGUAGAGAUGUGGAGGAAUACCGAAAGGCGAACGCAGGUCUCUGGGCUGUAACUGACGCUGAGAAGCGAAAGCAUGGGGAGCGAACAGGAUUAGAUACCC